rnacentral:rRNA from 1 species
UACGUAGGGUGUAAGCGUUAUCCGGAAUUAUUGGGCGUAAAGAGCUCGUAGGCGGUUUGUCGCGUCUGCUGUGAAAACCGGAGGCUCAACCUCCGGCCUGCAGUGGGUACGGGCAAACUAGAGUGCGGUAGGGGAGAUUGGAAUUCCUGGUGUAGCGGUGAAAUGCGCAGAUAUCAGGAGGAACACCGAUGGCGAAGGCAGGUCUCUGGGCAUUAACUGACGCUGAGGAGCGAAAGCAUGGGGAGCGAACAGG